CGAGAUAGAUGGCGAGUUAGCGGUGCGCUGUAACCCACAAUCCGCUAUAGUGGGAUUGAACACUUGUGCGAGGUUUGGUCUUGUCAAAUAUGUGUGCAAAAUUUAGGCGAUGAAAUCAAGGUCUUAUGCAAUCAAAAUCUCUGAACCAUGUCAGAGCCUGACGGCAGCAUCAUUAAGGAGACACCUUGGUGUGCCAUAAGGUAGCUUUGGUGGAGUUUAAAUUCUGCA
rnacentral:SRP_RNA from 1 species